UCGGCGGGCGGGCUAAGCUAGGCGAGCCGGGCACCGCCAGGGAUAAAUGACGCGGCUGGGACAGGGCUGGAGACGGUGGAAUGCUAGCCAACGAGGUAGAGUCCAAAAGAGCGGGCACAAAGACUGCCCGAGGGACUAGGGAAGGAUGACUGGCAGCUCCAGGACGGGAAAGGAGGGAGGAGACGACGGGCGUAGCUGAACAUCUAGGGCUUCGUGCAUUUCAUGCCCCAGGUGUGGUGCAGAGACGUCAGACCUGCCGGAAGGAGGUUUCCAUCUUCCAGGCCACCGGUCCCAAUGAAAUCCAGCCAAGGGCGUUCACCUGCUUCCGACUGCACCAUGUGGGUCUCUCCUAGGACCAGGAAACCCGCCACUAGCGAUUGUCUCCGUGGUAGCCCUGGUUCGGCGUCGGUUCUGACUCGGCCCGCCUGUCCACAGUUGCAGAAGCGCUGUCUGGACUGCUUCCUGGUGUAUCUCCGGGUCUUCGAGCGAUGAUCUCCGAGCUAGCGCUGCUGCCCGGAGCCGCCCGGGGCCCUGAAGGCCUCAGUGUUCCGGAAUUACAGUGUCUGCUGGGAGUUGGCGCGUCAGCAGGCAUUCCAUCUGGAGAGAAGGAUAGGGAUCGGCUCUUUGCCGUGACCACGCCUCUCUGUUCACUGGCCCCUCCCUCCGCCCAGCUGGCCCCACCCACUUAGUGCCACCGCCCCUGCUCUUCCCUGGCACCCCUCUAACUCGCAGUCCGUCCAGUCCUACUCCCAGGCUCCAGCUACCCGCCAUCUCCAGCCCAGUCCUUGGCCUCGUCCCGCGUCCUUCCCCGUCCCAGGCUCCCCAUGUUCAAACGGCUCCAGGAGCUCCCCAGGGGCUGGGAAUAUGAGUCUGCGAUGCGUUGUCCAACACAACAGCUCUUCCUACUUUCGCCUUCCGGUGCUUUCUCGGUACCUCCUCUGGGCUGCGAGAAUGAAGGUGGUCCUGCAUGAAAUCUGAAUUGGGCGAGGGGAGACGGUCGUACCAAUAGGAUGCUGAGAUCGUGGCUCGGGUCCUUUUGUCUGGGCAGAAUCUCAGGGGCUCCCUGAAUCUGAUCAAGUGAGUGAGAGCUGUUCCUUUCUGUACUAUGGGCUCCCCUGGGGAGGGUUGGAGCCACAGGGCCUCUCACCUCCCAUUCCUGCUGUUUCAGAAAUCUCAGCCUGCAUUUGCAUAGAGGACCCUUUGCCCUGAGUGGGCUGUAAUACUCUAUCUGGAGUCCGCCUUGUGCCCACCAAGGUUCCCAGGGAAGACUCCUACUCCCUGGUCCCCACACCUCUGAGUGAUCUGUUUUAUGGAAGAGUCUGACUAUUCCCAGGUUCCAGGCCUUAAGACGCUGCUGGACAUCACCCCCCAGAUGGUCCUGCUGCACUAUGUCAACCUUGAGCUGCCUGGAGCCUGCCAUCACCCCAUCACCCUCAGCCCUGGGGCUAGCUUCCCAAACAGAUGCUCUUUGUCACAGCAUCACCCCACAUCUGGAGACUGGAGUUCCCACAGAGGCGGGAGUGAGAGACGGUAGAGGAGAACAGAGGAUUGAGUUCUCCAGAUGACUUCUCUUGGGAGGCCUGUGAGCUCUGGGGAAACUGAGGCUCAGAAAUCGGGCUGCUUGGUCGCCAUCGAGGCAGCAGUAGCGCUGCCACUCACACAUCGGCCACUCACUCCAGUGCAACCAGCCUGGAAAGUUCUGAUGAGACUCCAAGUGUAUCCUCCCCAGGCUGCCUGAAGGUGGAUCUUCCCUCUUCUUCUGUCCUUAGGCCUACUCUUCAGGACAUCCUGGACAGCAUCCAAGAGGUGAGGUGAUCCUCUUGGGGUUCUCUGAAUCCCCUUGAUCACGGGGAAGGGGGAGCAGCAGUCCCCAGGAGUAAGCAGGGCCAAUCCUGGGUGCUGGGGUCUCUUAGACAUCCAGGAGACUCCCACACUGCCUUCUCAUCUCCCAGAAUGGAGGUGGCCUGCAUCCUGCCCACUGUAGGGUCUCUCUCUUCAAGGCUCAUCUGCCUCCGGGGCAGUAAGCCCCUUCUUCCAGGCAGUAGCUAGACUGGGUCUCUAUGGCCUCACUGGGCUUCAGGAACCCUGAUGGAUGAUUGGGUGCUCAGCACACCUCACUUGACCAGAGCUUGGACACCUAGAAAGCUCUGGCCCCAGGUCACAGAAGGGACUCACAGCCUUCACCCAUCAGUCCAGCAUCAGUAUUCUAACAAUCCCAAGCCACAUUUACUGAACUCAUGUUCUGCUCCAAUAACCACACCACUCCCCAUUUUAACUUUGUUGGCCUUCCAUCUUUAAAAUAAAAUCUGAGAUCCACACCGUGACUUCUGAAGCCCUGCUUGGUGUUCCAAUCUCUCUCCAACUUUCUCCUUUGCCCAUUACAAUCUGACCAAGAUGGUCUCUCUCUAUGCUUUGAACGCAUCUGUGUUUUCCUGCCUUUGGGUCUUUGCCCAGGCCUCUUUCUACUUGGAACUAGAUUGUAAGCCCUAUAAUGGCAGGGACUGUGUUCAGUUUUGUUCAGUUUUGUUUCUCUCUAAAUCCUCAUGUGUUUAAACAAUAGACAAUAAUGCCAGCUCUAACAGGUCUUAAUAAACAGUCCUGGAAUAAA